GACGAACGCUGGCGGCGUGCCUAAUACAUGCAAGUCGAGCGGACGGAUGGGAGCUUGCUCCCAGACCGUCAGCGGCGGACGGGUGAGUAACACGUGGGCAACCUGCCUGUAAGACUGGGAUAACUCCGGGAAACCGGGGCUAAUACCGGAUAACUCUUUCCCUCACAUGAGGGAAAGCUGAAAGAUGGCAUCUCGCUAUCACUUACAGAUGGGCCCGCGGCGCAUUAGCUAGUUGGAGAGGUAACGGCUCACCAAGGCGACGAUGCGUAGCCGACCUGAGAGGGUGAUCGGCCACACUGGGACUGAGACACGGCCCAGACUCCUACGGGAGGCAGCAGUAGGGAAUCUUCCGCAAUGGACGAAAGUCUGACGGAGCAACGCCGCGUGAGUGAUGAAGGUUUUCGGAUCGUAAAACUCUGUUGUCAGGGAAGAACAAGUACCGGAGUAACUGCCGGUACCUUGACGGUACCUGACCAGAAAGCCACGGCUAACUACGUG
rnacentral:rRNA from 1 species